GUGCACUGUAAAGGAGAACUUCUUGAUAAAGACUUGUGACUGGAGCUGCUCUGUAAGGGAAGAUGAACUGGAGCAAAGGGUGACUGUGGGGCAGUGGCCUCCUGGAUACAGUCCCAGGUCAAGCUCCAGUGGCAGACAAGGAAAGGAAAGUAAUUUCUGAUCUCCCCUAAGGAUGUGUAUCUUCCCAUUGCUACUUGACUGCUCUGGAGAAACAUACCAUCAACUUGUAGUGGACACGGCUACCUCCAAC